rnacentral:lncRNA from 10 species
GGGCGGCAUGGGGGGGGCGGGUAACCCAUUACCUACCACUGGUCAAAAGAGUAUAACAAACAUGAAGGGAUUUUGCAGAUAUUCUUACCUUACAGUCUAGGCUUAUUCAGAGUUAAUUAGCAGAAGACAGUCUUGCAUGGUCUGACUCAAUCAGGUGAAACCCCUUAAACAGGGGACUUAUUCAGGUUAAAGCUUUAAAAGAAUUCAGAGACUCUUACAGGUUUAAUUAACAAAGAGGCCAUGCUAGAGAAGUUCAUCUGAUGAUGAAUUGUGAACAGCCUCUAGGACGCCAGGGCUGCCUGCAGCUGACAGGCAGCAAAAGUCAGGGUUCUAGUAACACAGCUGCAUGGAAACAAAUUUGCCAAAACCUUAAGAAGUUUGCAAGUGGAUUUUUCCCCAGACAAGCCUCCAAGUGGGAGUACAGUCUCAACAAAAGUCAUUUGCAGCCUUGGGGGAUGCUGAGCAGAAGACCCAGCUAAGCUGUGCCUGGAUGCCUGACCCACAGAAACUCAUUCCAGAAUUCCUUCCUCUGAGAGCGGGACAGGAUCCUCUCUAGAAUGUUGAUCUUAUGACCUACAGUCAAACAAGACGGCCCUUAUCAGAUGUAGACCCUCAGUCUUGGACUUCUCAGCCUCCAGAAUUAUGAGCCAAAUAAAUUUAUUUUCAUUAUAAAUUACUCAGUCUGUGGUAUUUUUUUACAGCAGUACACAAUAGAUUAAGACAAUGGAAUACUGUAUAUGCCCCGAAAGUUGUUUUUCCUAUUUUCUCUUUCAGGAAAUGUAAAUAAUUGCAUAUGCUCUAUUAAAUGUCAAAUGACUAUGUCCCAUAUUUGUUUAUAGAAAAUAUUUUUAACCCAUCACUCUGAGCAAAACUUACAAAGUGCUGAAAUAUUUUGAAGUGAAAUGGAAACUUACUUUCAUAUUAUGGCAUCUUGACAAUUUGUUAGUUCCAAAUUCUAGCAAACAUUUUUUUCCUUCUAAGAUUGAGAUGUUCUAUUAGCAACACUUCAGGAAGGGAGAACCUGUGACUUUCCUCUAUUUUGUUGGUAAUUAUAAGCAGGAGGCAGUCACAGCUCAACUACGUGUUGUAGGUGUGUGCUUGGUUUGGGAAGGAGGUUUACUUUGAGGAGAAAAACUAACCUAUUAUCUAUGGAGUAAGAAAAUGCCAGCCAGCGCAAAUCUAAAAGUUUUUCAAUUAAGCCAAGUAAUUAGAUUUUGGAAUGUAGCCAGUGAACUUCCACUAAACAAUCUAAAUUGUGAAACUCAAUGCCACUUCCAAAAAGGUUGUGUAAGAAUUAUAAAUAAAAGUGAAACGGAAUAGAAAAUGUCCAACGCAUGCACUUAUGACAAAUGUGCUCCAGGACCGAAAACAGAAAAAUAUGCUUUCCAAGUUUCUCACAGCAUAAUGUGUCCUAAUGAAUUUUACAUGGGAAUUAAAUGUAUGAAAGCAGUACACUGAAUGAGCAUAGUUUUCAUAAACAUAACCAAGCCUCUCUAAAAUGGAAUUCUCUUUACCCACUAUAAUAUUGCAUACCACUGUAUGACAGAAUGUAGACUCCACAAAAUGAAUGCCAUUGUCUUUUUGAAUAGUAUGUUUGCAGUCAUAAAAAUAAAAUCAGUCUUUUUAUUAGGUUAGGUUACAAAUCAAAAUUGAAAAAUUAUCAGUAAGAAAUAGUAUUUUUAAUAGGGGUUAAAUACAAACUUUGAUGUGCUUUUCAGAUAGUCUAAUUUAACUCUCAUUACAUCUCUAAGAAGUAAAAUACUGAACAUGUUAUAUUUAAAUCACGAAUUAAAAUAAGAGCUAUUUUAAAAAAAUCUUUUCUAAAACUUAACUUUGGAAUCAUCUCACGCUGCUUGUUCUUUCAUUUUUACCUGCACUCUUUUAUAUCUUUUUGCAUUUACUUUUUGUCUUGUUUUAGAAGAGAACAUAAGAAUGUCAAAGUGGUGUGUAUAUAUUUAAUCGACCUCCUGCUGCAAAUACCUAACAUUGUGGAGCUUUAUGCUAUGAAAUAGAAUAUUGACAAUGAUGAAAACUAUUAGACAAAAUAAAACCAUAUGUAUUUUUAUAGCCCAGAAAUCUCUGUCAUGAUGGAAUAUAAGUGCUGCCUACGCAUUUAUGAGGACAUAUGAGACCAUUAAAAUGAAAACAUCUCUUAAUCAUGAAAGACAGCUCUUCAAAUACCCCAUGCUUAUGAAUAAUGGAUUGUUAGAGGUUACAAACAAUGUCUAGUGUUCCCUAACCCGCUUCCCACAGACACAUAAUCAUCUGGAAGACGCCCUAUUAUUUUUCUGAGUAUCUCUCAGGAACAGGAAAGAUGGUUCAGAGCCAGAAGUACAUAGAGUGACAAUGUAAGAUGGUACCUUAUGCUUACACAGAGUUUUAGUCAAGAUAUGGGAAGUUAGAGGAAUUAGAUGAUAUGUAUUUUUUUUUUACAAUGCUGUGAAACAUGCCUUUGCACUCUGAAGUGCAAAAAUGAAAAAUAGAAUAGAAAAAGUAUAAAAGCUUGAAACAUAGCUAUUGUAAAUAUAAUAGCAAAAUGUUUUAUUUUUCUUGAUAAAAAGACAAUGAGAAUCUGCCACGGAGCUCCGAAACAAAGUUGAUUUUGCAUGAUGUAUAUACGCAAGAUUGACAACUCAGAGUUCUAUAUGAGCUAAAGAAAUAGAGGGGAAAAAAGGCUAUUCAUUCCUCGCAAGUUACUCUGCCUACCCUUUUUAUCUGAUCUCCAUUUGAAGACAGAUAGUUAUAAGAGUAUGAAACUUCUCUAUAGAGAACUCUCAAGUGAACUCACUAUGUCCUGAAAAUAGCUGAAUGUUCUAGUAUCUCAUCACUAACCCUGGAUUCUUUGGUUCCCAACUGUCCAUCGAUUUAUUAUUACUGAGAACUAAUGUAUUAUUAUUGAGAAUCAGGAUGCCUUCUCCCACAACAAUACUACAAAUCUCUGGCCUUUGUUACUUAUGAACUGCAAGGUCUGGAAGCCAAGAAGUUCAUGGCAAGUCCCAGGUCAGGACCAUAGACUGUGGACCACAUCUAUCAGUAAGAAGAGUCUUAGUACAGAAUUACCUCCUUUGUUCAGCAGGAAAGGAUGGCAAAUUGGAGGAAUUCACAUUCAGCAGCCGAGUUUGUUCUGACACUGUGAGCCUCUACUUUUUCUAAAAAGUCGAAAAAAUUUUGACACCACUUGGAGUCAAAAUACCUAUGCUUACAUAUCAACAAUAGGACUCACUGCUUGUGUAACUUGGGGAUCUCAAUGGUAAGUACUGCUCCUAAAAUGAGGAAGUUAGUUCAGUGAGAUCUAAUUCAGGUAUUAGAUUAUUGGUGAGAAUUUAUUUUAUUUUAUUUUAUUUUUGAAACGGAGUUUCGCUCUUGUCGCCCAGGCUGGAGUGCAAUGGCAGAAUCUCAGCUCACUGCAACCUCCACCUCCCUGUUCAAGUGAUUCUCCUGCCUUAGCCUUCUGAGUAGCUGGGGAUUAUAGGCAUGUGCCACCACACCUGGCUACUUUUUGUAUUGUCAGUAGAGACAAGGUUUUGCCAUGUUGGCCAGGAUGGUCUCAAACUCCAGAUUGCAACAAUUUUCUCCCAUUCUGUAGGUUGCCUGUUCACU